AUUGCUCUCCUCUGAGAAGAUUAAGGAUUCAUUUGUUAACGACCCGGCGCCUAAUUGGGCCCCCGGGUGUAGCUCCUCCCACGGGGUGGGGCUCCACCUUGCUGCUCAACGCCGUUAAUUAAGUAACUGCGCUUGAAAAGCUGUUUUUACUACUACAGACUGGGUUCUGUCGGAGCAGAAAAUAUGGUGCGAGUGUCGCGGAGAAAGGGGUGGAGGUAGCUGGCGCAGACGAGGAAAGAAUCGGAGACUUACUGUGUGAGAGAUAACCUGGAGGCCUGGAGGCAUUCAUCUCCUUGAUGAAUGAAUGAAUGUGUGAGGAAUACGGAGGAAAGGCUCCAAGUGUGUGGUUCUGAGAGGGCAUGGUGAAAACUGGCUGGGGAAGCAGAUGUGGCCUGUUAACUACAAGAUCCCAGACGCACGUGCUGAGCAGUUCCCAAAACCCCAAGCAGGUUCUCAAGCAUGGCCUGGAACUGACGCGGCCUGAGGGGACCAACUGAGAGACGUUCCUCAGCCCCGAGGAGAUUUUUAUUGGCCUCAGAAAUCUAAAACCGUGGACUAUUUGGAGAGAGAGCCGCCCGGAUUCUUACUGGUCUGGGGAGUUAUCUUUGGAAAUCCAGGACACCCGGACCAGAUUCCUUUCAUUCAGGCUUGGAUUGGUCUGAUCCACGACCCUCUGAAAUGGCUAAAGGCCUGCCGUUCUGGAUGCCAUUCGUGGUCAGCUGGUCAAACCCCCAUGGUUGCGCUGGCUACCCCAGCCAACAAGAAGCGUCCUCAGACCUGACCAGACAAGAAUGUGUUUUCCCUCUGACUCGACCUGCUUGGGACCCCAACUCCAGUGCAGGCUUCAGGGUCCUAUGGGCAUCAGCGUCCACAUCCAGAGGCUCAAGGAAGCAGGGAUCCUGGUUCCCUGUAAGUCGGCUUGGAGUCGCCCCUACUCCCAGUACAGAAGCCUGGGACCUCCGACUACAGGCCUGUUCAGGAUCUACGUGAGGGAAAUCACAGAGUGGAGACACUCCACCCCACCGUACCCAAUCCCUACACCCUUCUGAGCCUACUCCCUCCUAGCCGAGUGUUCUACACCAUCCUCAACCUCAAGGAUGCUUUCUUCACCUUAUCUCUGGCUCCGGUAAGUCAGCCCCUCUUUGCCUUUGAGUGGACAGAUCCCCAGACUGGGGAAAGCAGACAAUUGACUUGGACCCGCUUGCCUCAGAGGUUUCAUAGGGCUAUUUACCAGGAAAGAGGACUAUUAACUACGGGAGGACAUAAAAUUAAAAACACCCAAGAAAUUCUGGACUUGCUGGCAGCUGUAUGGCUACCUCAAAAGGUUGCAGUAAUACAUUACAGAGGAUAUCAAAAAAAAAAAAAAAAAAAAACAACUCUCCAAUCGCCCGGGGAAAUUCCCUGGCUGAUGUUACAGCUCAAGAGAUGACACAAAAACCAGUGGGGGAACACUGGGAAAUUAAUUUUACAGAGACGACUCCUGCAAAAGACAACUACAAGUAUCUCCUGGUGUUAGUAGAUACAUUCACAGGGUGGCCUGAGGCUUAUGCCACCUGGUCUAAAUCGGCCACUAUAGUUACCAAAAAGCUCCUUACAGAGAUAGUUCCCCGACUCGGCCUGCCCAUUACUCUGGGGUCCAACAAUGACCCUGCUUUUAUAGCCCAGAUUACCCAAAAAGUGACACAAGUCUUAAACAUAAACUGAAUGCUCCACUGCGCCUAUAGGCCGUUGAGUUCAGGACAGGUAGAAAAGAUAAACAGGACAAUUAAAAAAACUAUUACAAAGUUAGGGUUGGAAGCUGGAGAAAACUGGUUGAGUCUCCUUCCCUUUGCCCUUUUGAGGGCACGAUGUACUCCCUAUGUAAAAAAAAUUACUCCUUUUGAGGCCAUGUAUGGGUGUGCCCCUCCACUCCUCCCGAAGUUGGAAAAAAGAUUCUUGCUUCAGUGACUAACCAGAAACUUAUCAGAUCCUUACAGGCCCUCCAGUCUAUGCACCAAGCCACACACCACCUCUUCAGACAACACCAACCCGUCUCUGAUGGGUCUAACAGUCCUCCUGGAGCGGCACCCGGCUCUCUGGUGUGGGUCAAAAAAAAACACCGCAAUGUUGGGACCCCGCUGGAUUGGACCUGACGCUGUGUCAUAAAUUGUUUAAAUAAGGAUGUUCAACAAAGGAUGCAAGCCAUCAAAUUAAUGGUACUCAGAGCUCAAUAUCCGCCAUCAGAGGUAACUGAGGAAACAACGAUUUGAUUCCCCCAGAAAACCAGUGGGGAAUGCGGUGAACACAUAAAACGGAUGAAAAAUUACUGGGCUAUUGGGUGGAGGAAAAAAAAAAGUCAGUUUGACCCAAGAAAGAGAAACUGUGCUUGAUUGUUCUUUUUAGUUUGAGAAAAAACAUAUGCUUCUGAGGACGUUCUGAUUUUUGCAACACCUGCUUGCUGAAACCGAUAGGUUCCACUUUCUACCCUUGCAAAAAACUUCUUUACCUGCGCCAACCAGGAUGUGGUCUUCAAGCUUAAAAGCUCAAACAUUCUUUGGGUCGGGGCUGCUCAGCAUCUCCCUGCAUGGAGAACAGACUGACACCCAUCAGCCCGGCUAAU